AACCGCAUGGUUCAAUAGUGAAAGGCGGCUUUGCUGUCACUUAUAGAUGGAUCCGCGCCGUAUUAGCUAGUUGGUAAGGUAACGGCUUACCAAGGCAACGAUACGUAGCCGACCUGAGAGGGUGAUCGGCCACACUGGAACUGAGACACGGUCCAGACUCCUACGGGAGGCAGCAGUAGGGAAUCUUCCGCAAUGGGCGAAAGCCUGACGGAGCAACGCCGCGUGAGUGAUGAAGGUCUUCGGAUCGUAAAACUCUGUUAUCAGGGAAGAACAAAUGUGUAAGUAACUGUGCACAUCUUGACGGUACCUGAUCAGAAAGCCACGGCUAACUACGUGCCAGCAGCCGCGGUAAUACGUAGGUGGCAAGCGUUAUCCGGAAUUAUUGGGCGUAAAGCGCGCGUAGGCGGUUUUUUAAGUCUGAUGUGAAAGCCCACGGCUCAACCGUGGAGGGGUCAUUGGAAAACUGGAAAA
rnacentral:rRNA from 1 species